CCUGAGUCAGAGACGCUGGAGGACAAGUCUUUGACUUCUGGACUGGAGGCGGCGGCGACGACCUCAGGGCUGGAGGCGGCGGCGUUGGCCUCUGGGCUGGAGGCGGCGUCGGCGGCCUAUGGGCUGGAGGCGGAGUCGUCGGCCCCUGGGCUGGAGGCGGCGGCAUAUGGGCUGGAGGCGUCGUCGUCGGCCUCUGGGCUGGAGGCAGCGUCGUCAACCUCUGGGCUGGAGGCGGCGUCGACCACGGGACUGGAGACGGCGUCGACCACGGGACUGGAGACGGCGUCGACGACAGGACUAGAGACGGCGUCGACCACUGGACUGGAGACUGUGUCGACCACUGGACUGGGGACGGCGUUGAUCACUGGACUAGAGACGGCGUCAACCACUGGACGAGAUGGCGGAAACGUUGGACUGGAGGGGACGUCGACCUCUGGACUGGGGGGGACGUCGACCUCUGGACUGGAGGGAACGUCGACCUCUAGACUGGAGGAAACGUCAACCUCUGAACUGGAGGGAACGUCGGCCUCUAGACUGGAGGAAACGUCGACCUCUGGACUGGAGGGAACGUCGACCUCUGGACUGGAGGGAACGCCGACCUCUGAACUGGAGGGAACGUCGGCCUCUAGACUGGAGGAAACGUCGACCUCUGUACUGGAGGGAACGUCGACCUCUGGACUGGAGGGAACACCGACCUCUGGACUGGAGGGAGCGUCGACCUCUGGACACGAGGGAGCGUCGACCUCUGGACACGAGGGAGCGUCGACCGCUGGACACGAAGGAGCGUCGACCUCUGGACUGGAAAGAGCGUCAAUCUCUGGACAGGAAAGAGCGUCGACCUCUGGACUGGAAAGAGCGUCGACCUCUGGACUGGGGAGAGCGUCGACCUCUGGACUGGGGAGAGCGUCGACCUCUGGACUGGGGAGAGCAUCGACCUCUGGACUGGAGAGAGCAUCGACCUCUGGACUGGAGAGAGCGUCGAACUCAGGACACGAGGGAGUGUUGACCUCUGGACACGAAGGAGCGUCGACCUCUGGACACGAGGGAGCAUCGACAUCUGGACACGAAGGAGCGUCAACCUCUGGACACGAAGGAGCGUCGACCGCUGGACACGAAGGAGCGUUGACCUCUGGACUGGAAAGAGCGUUGAUCUCUGGACUGGAAAGAGCGUCGACCUCUGGACUGGAACGAGCGUCGACCUCUGGACUGGGGAGAGCGUCGACCUCUGGACUGGAGAGAGUGUCGACCUCAGGACUGGAAGGGGCGUCGACUUCAGGACUGGGGGCGUCGACCUCCAUCGACUUCUGGUCCGGAGUCGUCGACUUCUGCUUCGGGGGUGUCGAUUUCUGGUCCGUCGACUUCUGGACCAAUGGCCGAUUUGAAUUGAAAUGUUUGCCAGUUAUGAGCUACUGA
rnacentral:lncRNA from 1 species